UUGGAGGGCAAGUCUGGUGCCAGCAGCCGCGGUAAUUCCAGCUCCAAUAGCGUAUAUUAAAGUUGUUGCAGUUAAAAAGCUCGUAGUUGAAUUUCGGGAUCAAUAUUUCGGUCAUGCCGUUGGUACGCACUGUUAUCAUUGAUUUCUCACCUUCUAAAGAACCGUGAUGCCAUUAAUUUGGUGUUACGGGGAAUUAGGACUGUUACCUUGAAAAAAUUAGAGUGUUUAAAGCUGGCUCACGCUUGAAUACAUUAGCAUGGAAUAAUGAAAUAGGACAUCCGAUUCUAUUUUGUUGGUUUCUAGGAUCGAUGUAAUGAUUAAUAGGGAUAGUUGGGGGCAUUAGUAUUCAAUUGUCAGAGGUGAAAUUCUUGGAUUUAUUGAAGACUAACUACUGCGAAAGCAUUUGCCAAGGAUGUUUUCAUUAAUCAAGAACGAAAGUUAGGGGAUCGAAGACGAUCAGAUACCGUCGUAGUCUUAACCAUAAACUAUGCCGACUAGGGAUCGGAUGAUGUUAAUUUUUUAAUGACUCAUUCGGCGCCUUACGGGAAAC
rnacentral:rRNA from 1 species